CCACAACAUAAAAAUGAUAAUAAUAAUAAUGAAAUGCAUCCAAGUUUUUUUUAUUUGUGGUGUAUCUACUAUUUUUAUUUAUUUUGAAUUCGGGUAGUGGAGUGUCCCUUUAAUGCCGACCAUGACAGAAAGAUGUCAGAACACACAGUACAUCACAGUUUGCUGUGUAGCUAUAGACUGAUCAGAGUGCCCAUGAUGUCCACAGGCAAAAGCACCUUCAAUAGGGACGUGAGCGACUGUGAAGCAAUGAAAGAAGAUUGUCUGGUUUGAUGAAUAAGGUUUUCUUUCAGAACAAGCAGGUAUCUGGGUGCAUGAAGAGAUGGCAGCGAGAUGCACUAUGCUCUGGGCAAUGUUCUGCCGGGCAACCUUGGGUCCUGGCAUUUAUGUGGAUGUCACUUUGACAAGUACCACCUACCUAGAGAAUGUUGCAGAUGCUGUACACCCCUUCAUGACAAUGGUGUUUCCUGGUACUGGUGGCCUCUUUCAGCAAGAUAAUUCCCCCUGCCACACCGCAAAAAAAAUUCAGGAAUGGUUUGAGAAACAUGACAAAGAGUUCAAAGUGUAUUCUUGGCCCCAAAAUCCCCCAGCUCUCAAUCCGAUUGAAUAUCUGUGGGAUGUGCUGGGACAAUAAAUCCAAUCCAUGAAGGCCACAUCACGCAACUUUCAGGACUUAAAGGAUCUGCUGAUAGUGUCUAGGUGCCAGAUACUACAAGACACGUCCAGAGUGCUUGUGUAGUUCAUGCCUCA